GGAUAUAGCUCAAGUGGUAGAGUGCGUGCUUAGCAUGCACAAGGUCCUGGGUUCAAUCCCCAGUACCUCCU
rnacentral:tRNA from 1 species